UACGUAGGGUGCAAGCGUUAAUCGGAAUUACUGGGCGUAAAGCGUGUGCAGGCGGUUUUGUAAGUCUGAUGUGAAAUCCCCGGGCUCAACCUGGGAAUUGCAUUGGAGACUGCAAGGCUAGAAUCUGGCAGAGGGGGGUAGAAUUCCACGUGUAGCAGUGAAAUGCGUAGAGAUGUGGAGGAACACCGAUGGCGAAGGCAGCCCCCUGGGUCAAGAUUGACGCUCAUGCACGAAAGCGUGGGGAGCAAACAGG
rnacentral:rRNA from 1 species